AGAUUUUGAGCAAGAAUUUAAGUACCGUGAUACGAAAUCGUGUCGAAAAUUUACUGGCACGAUUCGUGCCGGUCAUAAAAAAUUUAUACGGACCGACACAUAAUAACAUGAAAUAUUAAUUUCCUUUUAGCAAUAAAAUAUUUCAAUUGUUUAUUAAGUAUUUUUAUCAAAUCUUUUUUUUUUUUUUUUGAGAGAGAUAGGUAGCACGCUACCCGCUUCGUUUAUUUUAUUUAGAAAAUAAACUUAGCUAGAAAUGUGAAUCAACUAGGAUUCGAACCUGGUUCGCGGGUACCAACCACCAAGCGCUUUGCCACUUGCUCUAAGGACGGUCAGUUUUUAUCAAAUCUUAGUCAUCGACACGGAGGCUAUAUCGUGCCGAUAUCUUGUUAGCACAAUAUGACACAAUAGAUACGGUCCGUGCAGAGGAGCACUGAAAUUUUUAAUUUUGAGUUUAAUUUUCACACCAGAGAU
rnacentral:lncRNA from 1 species